AGGGGUUUGGUGUAAUUGGUAGCAUAGCAGUCUCCAAAACUGCCAGUAAGAGUUCAAGUCUCUUGACCCCUGCCA
rnacentral:tRNA from 1 species